GGAGUCUGGGCCGUAUCUCAGUCCCAAUGUGGCCGUUUAACCUCUCAGUCCGGCUACUGAUCGUCGCCUUGGUAAGCCGUUACCUUACCAACUAGCUAAUCAGAUAUAAGUCCAUCUAUCAGCGGAUUGCUCCUUUCCCACUUGAACCAUGUGAUUCUUAUGGCAUAUGCGGUAUUAGCAGUCGUUUCCAACUGUUGUUCCCCUCUGAUAGGCAGGUUACUUAUACAUUACUCACCAGUCCGCCACUAACCGCUCUCAAUCUAUAAGAAUGAGUUAAGUUCGUUCGACUUGCAUGUCUUAUGUGCGCCGCCAGCGUUUAUC
rnacentral:rRNA from 1 species